AUACGUAGGGUGCGAGCGUUGUCCGGAAUUACUGGGCGUAAAGAGCUCGUAGGUGGUUUGUCGCGUCGUCUGUGAAAUUCCGGGGCUUAACUCCGGGCGUGCAGGCGAUACGGGCAUAACUUGAGUACUGUAGGGAAGACUGGAAUUCCUGGUGUAGCGGUGAAAUGCGCAGAUAUCAGGAGGAACACCGGUGGCGAAGGCGGGUCUCUGGGCAGUAACUGACGCUGAGGAGCGAAAGCAUGGGUAGCGAACAGGAUUAGAUACCCUGGUAGUCCAUGCCGUAAACGGUGGGCGCUAGGUGUAGGGGUCUUCCACGACUUCUGUGCCGUAGCUAACGCAUUAAGCGCCCCGCCUGGGGAGUACGGCCGCAAGGCUAAAACUCAAAGGAAUUGACGGGG
rnacentral:rRNA from 1 species